rnacentral:rRNA from 1 species
GACGAACGCUGGCGGCGUGCCUAAUACAUGCAAGUAGAACGCUGAAGGAGGAGCUUGCUUCUCUGGAUGAGUUGCGAACGGGUGAGUAACGCGUAGGUAACCUGCCUGGUAGCGGGGGAUAACUAUUGGAAACGAUAGCUAAUACCGCAUAAUAGUAGUUGUUGCAUGACAACUGUUUGAAAGGUGCAAUUGCAUCACUA